rnacentral:rRNA from 1 species
UGGGGAAUAUUGGACAAUGGGCGAAAGCCUGAUCCGGCGACGCCGCGUGGGUGAAGAAGGCCUGCGGGUUGUAAAGCCCUUUCGGUGGGGAAGAAAAGCUUCGACCUAAUACGUCGAGGUCUUGACGUAACCCACAGAAGAAGCACCGGCUAACUCUGUGCCAGCAGCCGCGGUAAUACAGAGGGUGCGAGCGUUAAUCGGAAUUACUGGGCGUAAAGCGCGCGUAGGCGGCUUUGCAAGUCGGGUGUGAAAUCCCCUGGGCUUAACCUAGGAACUGCACUCGAGACUGCAUUGCUAGGGGUAUGGUAGAGGGAAGUGGAAUUUCCGGUGUAGCGGUGAAAUGCGUAGAUAUCGGAAGGAACACCAGUGGCGAAAGCGACUUCCUGGACCAAUACUGACGCUCAGGCGCGAAAGCGUGGGGAGCAAACAGGAUUAGAUACCC